rnacentral:rRNA from 1 species
AAACCAGCACCUCAAGUGGUCAGGAUGAUUAUUGGGCCUAAAGCAUCCGUAGCCGGCUCUGUAAGUUUUCGGUUAAAUCUGUACGCUUAACGUACAGGCUGCCGGGAAUACUGCAGAGCUAGGGAGUGUGAGAGGUAGACGGUACUCGGGAGGAAGUGGUAAAAUGCUUUGAUCUCUCGAUGACCACCUGUGGCGAAGGCGGUCUACCAGAACACGUCCGACGGUGAGGGAUGAAAGCUGGGGGAGCAAACCGAAUUAGAAACCCUAGUAGUCC